rnacentral:tRNA from 1 species
UGGCAUAGUGGUUAAGAAUUUGGCUGCAGACCAAAAGGUCGGUGGUUCGAAUCCACC